rfam:Homo sapiens chromosome 6, GRCh38 reference primary assembly.
GUGCUUGUCUCAGCAGCACGUAUACUAAUAUUGGAACCAUACAGAGAAGACUGGAUGGCCCCUGCACAAGCAGGCUUGAAAUUUACAGACUGCAUGGAGAAAGCUACUU